rnacentral:rRNA from 1 species
GGACGAACGCUGGCGGCGUGCCUAACACAUGCAAGUCGAACGGACUGAUGUCCAACACUGAGAGUGUUGGACGGAAAGUGGAAAGUAAAAAGUGGAAAGUGGAAAACGAAGGGAUUUAAAAUAUCAUAUACCACUAACCACUUACUGUUUUCCGGUUUCCGAUGUUCACCACCUUGAGUGUUGGACAUCAGUUAGUGGCGAACGGGUGAGUAACGCGUAGACAACCUGCCUUCUAGAUGGGGAUAACACCGCGAAAGUGGUGCUAAUACCGAAUAAGUCAACCUAGGCGCAUGCCGAGGGUGAGAAAGGUGGCCUCUUGGAAAAGCUACCGCUAGAAGAUGGGUCUGCGUCUGAUUAGCUAGUUGGUAGGGUAACGGCCUACCAAGGCGACGAUCAGUAGCCGGUCUGAGAGGAUGAACGGCCACACUGGGACUGAGACACGGCCCAGACUCCUACGGGAGGCAGCAGUGGGGAAUCUUCCGCAAUGGGCGAAAGCCUGACGGAGCAACGCCGCGUGGGUGAAGAAGGCCUUCGGGUCGUAAAGCCCUGUCAAACGGGACGAAGUUUGCAUUUGCAAACAGUGGAUGCAAGUGACGGUACCGUAGGAGGAAGCCACGGCUAACUACGUGCCAGCAGCCGCGGUAAUACGUAGGUGGCGAGCGUUGUCCGGAAUUAUUGGGCGUAAAGGGCGCGUAGGCGGGACGAUAAGUCCAUCUUAAAAGACUGGGGCUCAACCCUGGGGAGGGAUGGAAACUGGCGUUCUUGAGUGCAGGAGAGGGAAGUGGAAUUUCCGGUGUAGCGGUGAAGUGCGUAGAUAUCGGGAGGAACACCAGUGGCGAAGGCGGCUUUCUGGACUGCAACUGACGCUGAGGCGCGAAAGCCAGGGGAGCGAACGGGAUUAGAUACCCCGGUAGUCCUGGCCGUAAACGAUGGGUACUAGGUGUGAGAGGUAACCAAUCCUUUCGUGCCGGAGUUAACGCAAUAAGUACCCCGCCUGGGGAGUACGGCCGCAAGGCUGAAACUCAAAGGAAUUGACGGGGGCCCGCACAAGCAGCGGAGCAUGUGGUUUAAUUCGAAGCAACGCGAAGAACCUUACCAGGGCUUGACAUCCUACUAAUCCUGUAGAGAUACGGGAGUGCCCUUUUGGGAAAGUAGAGACAGGUGGUGCAUGGUUGUCGUCAGCUCGUGUCGUGAGAUGUUGGGUUAAGUCCCGCAACGAGCGCAACCCCUGCCUUUAGUUGCCAGCAUUAAGUUGGGCACUCUAAAGGGACUGCUAGGGUUAACCUAGAGGAAGGUGGGGAUGACGUCAAAUCAUCAUGCCCUUUAUGCCCUGGGCUACACACGUGCUACAAUGGCCGGUACAAAGAGCAGCGAGGCCGCGAGGCGGAGCAAAUCUUAAAAACCGGUCCCAGUUCAGAUUGUAGGCUGCAACUCGCCUACAUGAAGCCGGAGUUGCUAGUAAUCGCGAAUCAGCAUGUCGCGGUGAAUGCGUUCCCGGGCCUUGUACACACCGCCCGUCACACCAUGAGAGUCUGCAACACCCGAAGCCAGUGGGCUAACCCGCAAGGGAGGCAGCUGUCGAAGGUGGGGCUGGUGAUUGGGGU